AUCUUUCUAGUAUAACAUCAGUAUUAGUGACUUCCAAUCACCCGGCCUUGGUGAAAAUCCAAGGAAAGAUA
rnacentral:tRNA from 1 species